CCGGUGCGCCCCCGGCGGCCCAUGAAAAUCCGGAGGACCGAGUACCGUUCACGCCCGGUCGUACUCAUAACCGCAUCAGGUGUUCAAGGUGAACAGCCUCUGGCCAAUGGAACAAUGUAGGCAAGGGAAGUCGGCAAAACGGAUCCGUAACUUCGGGAAAAGGAUUGGCUCUGAGGACUGGGCUCGGGGGUCCCGGCCCCGAACCCG
rnacentral:ncRNA from 1 species